UUGCUCAGCAGCACAUACAAUAAAUAUGAAAUAAUGUAGAGAAGCUUAGCCUGGUCCCUGUGAACAUGGUACUAAAAUUUGUGGCGAUUCCUAGAUUUUA
rnacentral:snRNA from 1 species